GGACCAUCUGGUGAACCUGGACCUCCAGGUCAACAGGGGAAUCCAGGCAUACAGGGCUUCCCUGGUCCACAGGGGCCUAUAGGCCUGCCAGGAGAGAAGGGCCCUGAGGGCAAACCUGGAAUGCAGGGCCU